AGGGGCAAGGAAGGAUUAACAGAUUCUGCCUCAAGUCCUGGUGAACCAACUCCUCUCCCCAAGACAGACACAUACUAGUGAAAUAAAUUGGAUUUAAAUCAUCACCUGAGGCAAUCCUGAAAGAGAAAAGCAGUCCUAGAAAAGAGUGGAGGAAAAGAGGACAGCCCCAUUCUCUUUGUGACCACGAAGACUGCCGCCAUGUGGUUGGGAGCCACGUAACUUCUUUUAGUGCCAGCUGAGAUUCUUCUGCCCUGGAACUAGUUCCUCCGAGUUAUUGCCAGGCCUGGAGAUUGAAUUCCUGCAGCUGGAAGGUGGGGAAAGCAAAAUGUUGUGAGCACCUACCAUAUGCCAGGCACUGUUCAGUGAACUGGUUGUACAGGAGUGAAUGAGAUCAUCUUGAUUUUGAGAAGUUUAUAAUCUACUCAAGGGAAACACGUGUAAUCAACUAUGUUUCAGACAUAACCCCUCAAAACCAAAGCAGAACCUCUUCAAGGAGCUGAGAGAUGCAAGCCUGGUGCUGACAACUAGAGCUGAGGAAGCGAUAUAAAUGCAGCAUUUGGGGUAACACUCUGCUUCCCCCUUUUGUGCCAAACAGGCAAGUCAGGGACACCUGAGGUUAUGAAGGCAUCUCUCCACAGUUCUGCCUGAGAAUCCAAGAAUGAAAGUAAUAGUUACCUUGUCUUGGGCUGCUGCUACCUUUCUGCUUUAUGAGUGCAAUUGACAUGCUCCGCGUUCAGAUCUCAGAUACCAGUCAGCUGCACUUUCUCUUUCAGACAAAAGUGUUGCCAAUGUUUCUACUACUGCCCGAGUGUCACUCCUUAUUUCCUUAUUUUAAAGUGUUAUUUUUCCUGGAAGUGUAAUGGUUAAAGAAGUGACAGUAAAUAAAUAGGAGUUAUUAUUCCCUUUUCUAAGCUUCUGUCCUUAGAGACCAAUUUUCAUAACAUCUCUUGAGCUCUCCAUGUAAAAUCAGUCCAGUCUAAUUCACAUCUCCAUUAGUUAUAUCUGCUUUUGGCAGACAGCCUGGCUUCCCAGUUUUUCAGAAAAAAAAAAAUCUAUGAAAUAUCUUAAUGCCUCCAUUUCCCUCUUGUCCACUUUCAGAGUUACCAUAUAUUCAUCCAUCCUUUUCUCCCUCCUAUCUGAGGCAGAAGGAAUCUUUACUUUCUUCAAAAAUCAAUUUUUUUUCAACUUUGCUAAUGAUCUUCCUUCUUUUCCACUUUCUCUGGGGAUUUAUUUCAUUAUUUUUUCUACCGUAUUUCUCUCUUCUCUUUAUUCCUUUCUUCCUUCCUAUAAUCAUGCACAAAUAUUACUAUUGUAUAGAAACCUUCUCUAGUGUCACACUCUCCACCAAGUUACUUCCCUUUUCUUCUCCUCUGUUUCAUUGCCAAGCUUCCUGGAAGAAAUAUCUCAUCUCUCACUUACUUCUCAAUCCUGGGAAACCUGAUUUUAGCCCUCACCAGUUGGCUGAAAUCGGAUAGAAUAGGUCAUCCAUGUCCUAACUGCCAAAUCCAUUAUAUUUGGGUGGUCAUCUCACAGAACCUCACUGGGGUUCCUCCCUUGGGUUUGUGAGACAGCCCUCUUCUUAUUGUCCUCUCACUCUUCCUAGUCUCACCCUCAUCUUUUUAAAUGUAACCCAUCUUUCCCGGGGUUGAUGUUAGGCAGGGCUGGGGAGGUGGAGUUGGCAGUGGCUCCUAUUGUGUUCUCUCUGGUGACACGUAUAGACAUGGGUCAUCACUUGGUUUCCAUUUUCCCCUCUUCCCGAGAGCAUUAGAGAAAUUAAAAUGCUUCAAAAUAUCUGAAAUCCAAGUCCAGAAAUUGCCAUUUUUGUUUCCUGUCUUAGUCCAUUUUGUGUUGCUAUAAAAACACCUAAAGCUGGGUAGUUUGUAAAGAUAAGAAGUUUAUUUGGCUCAUGGCCCUGCAGGCUGUACAAGAAGCAUAGCACCAGCGUCUGCUUCUGGUGAGGUGUCAGGAAGCUUCCACUCAUGGCAGAAGGCGAGAGGAGCAGACAUCACAUGGUGAGAAAGGGAGGAAGAGAGAGGUAGGGGUGUCUUGCUACUUAAAACAACCAGCACUCGCAUGAACUAAUAGAGCAAGAACUCACUAAUUACCAAUGGGAUGACACCAAGCCAUUCAUGAGGGAUCCUCCUCCAUGCCCCCGAUACCUCUCACCAGGCCCCAUCUCCAACAUUCGGGAUCACAUUUCAACGUGAGACUUGGAGGAGACAAAUAUCCAAACUAUAUCAUUUCUCUUUUUGCCUUGUCCUAAUAAAGGAAGGAAGUUACUUGUGGUGAUAAAGGCCUUGGUUUUCACUUUGUUGUCUGCUGCCUGUUGAAAUGGGUCAGAAUAUAAAAGGGUUUUUCUGAGGAAAAGUAAAUGCUUGGAAAAGUUCUUGUUACUGGGCCUAUUAUAUUAGUUCCCAAUAAGAAUUUGAGCUACACUGUGCUAAUAGAGUCCAUGAGCCCGCUGGUGUCCCAUCUCUCAGUAGAGGACAGGGCAGCAUAUUCCACUCCAGUAGUCGUUGUAUAAAAUAUAUUUGAAGCACAACUCUCAUUACAAGGUACGCAAUACAUUUUUAGU
rnacentral:lncRNA from 1 species